rnacentral:lncRNA from 1 species
GGUGGGAAGCAGCUACUGAGGGCUGGGAGCCUCUCUGGAGAGGCUUCCCUUUAAAAUGCCCUUUGCAAAUACCGUGUUAGACAAAACAGCUCUGCUGCCCGAAGGCAUUUCCAUCCGCAGCCGCAGCCGGGAAGGCAGCAUAUCAGAGAGCAGCAUUUCUCCAAGGCAAAUGGAUCUGUUCUCAUCUGGUUUUCCUCUUUGAUGCAUUUUUAUGUUAAGGGCUCUAAGUGCUCCUUUAAUAGUUCUGGCCUUGUCAGGGUAGCUGAUGGUUCUCUGCUUUCUUGUCUCUUCCAGCCUUCCCUCCUCGAGCUCCCGGCAGUGCCCUCUCUGGGAAACGGCUUUCCAUGUCCGUGCCGCUCCGCCUCGCUGAGCCCGAGCCGGGAGGAUCUGUAGCAUCCAACAUCGUUGGCCCAAAACGCGGCGUGUCCAAUUAUUCGCCUGGAUGAUGGGGAGAAGCCCCGGGAGAAGCCCAACGACAACAGCAAAGUGAGGAAAUCAGUGUGCUGUGGGGCGGUGGGACCCCCAUGCUGGUGUCUGUGGCACAGUGUGGGGCUGAGCAGUCACAGAACUGCAGAAUCGGGAAGGCUGGGAAGAUCUCUGAGAACCCCAAGCCCACCCCACAGUGCCCACUGGCUGUGCUCUCAGUGCUGCAUCUCCACCGUUCAGGUACACCUCCAGGAAGCCCCUGGGUGCUGCUGUGCCGUGGGUCUCACCACACCUCAGAGCUUCUUAUCCCUCCUGCUGCUCUGUCCAAGGCCACAGGGUGGGUGUCGGGUGGUACUGAGAGCCUCCAUGUCCUGCUUUGGGGAGUUGGUAUCCACAGCCUUCAAGAACAGGCUGGCUACCAGAUGGGUGAACCAAAUAAGCCUCCAACAUUUAUCUGAGAGUUCGACGUUUUCCUGUGUUGUUAACCGCAGAGGAAACUAGGUGGUUUGCAGCCACGCUGAGCCGCUGCCAGCCCCCAGCCUUCGAAUAUUUUCACAGGGAGGGGGAGGAGGGAGGGGGCUUUUUCCUCCAAGCCAGAUGGCCGUAUGGAAUCAAUAAAAGUCCG